UACGUAGGGUGCAGGCGUUAAUCGGAAUUACUGGGCGUAAAGCGUGCGCAGGCGGUUUCACAAGCUCGAUGUGAAAAGCCCCCGGGCUUAACCUGGGAAUGGCAUUGAGGACUGUGGAGCUCGAGUGCGGCAGAGGGAGGUGGAAUUCCACGUGUAGCAGUGAAAUGCGUAGAUAUUGACAGGAACACCAGUGGCGCAAGCGGCUAUCUGGACCAACAUCGACGCUGAGGCACGAAAGCGUGGGGAUCAAACAGGA
rnacentral:rRNA from 1 species